GAAACAGCUGGCUAAGACUGGAUAGGAAGAUAAAAGGCAUCUUGUUUCUUUUAAAAGACCUAGUUAAUAGGUAUGCUUUAGGAGGGGCUUGCGCCAUAUUAGUUAGUUGGUAGGGUAAUGGCCUACCAAGACGAUGAUGUGUAGCUGGACUGAGAGGUUGAACAGCCACAUUGGGACUGAGACACGGCCCAAACUCCUACGGGAGGCAGCAGUAGGGAAUUUUCGGCAAUGGAGGAAACUCUGACCGAGCAACGCCGCGUGAAUGACGAAGUACUUCGGUAUGUAAAGUUCUUUUAUCGAGGAAGAAAAGCAAAUGGCGAACCAUUUGUUUGCCGGUACUUGAUGAAUAAGCCCCGGCUAAUUAUGUGCCUGCAGCCGCGGUAAGACUUAAGGGGCAAGUGUUAUCCGGAAUUAUUGGGCGUAAAGGGUGCGUAGGCGGUCUAGUAAGUCAGUGGUGUAAUGUCAACGCUUAACGUUGUCCGGCUAUUGAAACUGCUAAACUUGAGUUAGAUAGAGGCGAGUGGAAUUCCAUGUGUAGCGGUAAAAUGCGUAAAUAUAUGGAGGAACACCAGAGGCGUAGGCGGCUCGCUGGGUCUUAACUGACGCUGAGGCACGAAAGCGUGGGGAGCAAACAGGAUUAGAUACCCUGGUAGUCCACGCCGUAAACGAUGAGUACUAAGUGUCGGGUUAAACCGGUACUGAAGUUAACACAUUAAGUACUCCGCCUGAGUAGUACGUACGCAAGUAUGAAACUUAAAGGAAUUGACGGGACUCCGCACAAGCGGUGGAUCAUGUUGUUUAAUUCGAAGAUACCCGAAAAACCUUACCAGGUCUUGACAUGUUUUUGCAAAAUGAUAGUAAUAUCGUGGAGGUUACCAGAAACACAGGUGGUGCAUGGUUGUCGUCAGCUCGUGUCGUGAGAUGUUAGGUUAAGUCCUAAAACGAGCGAAACCCUUAUCGUUAGUUGCCAGCACGUUAUGGUGGGGACUUUAACGAGACUGCCAAUGAUAAAUUGGAGGAAGGUGAGGAUCACGUCAAAUCAGCAUGCCCCUUAUGACCUGGGCUACAAACGUGAUACAAUGGCUGUUACAAAGGGUAGCUGAAACGCAAGUUCUUGGCCAAUCCCCAAAAACAGUCCCAGUCCGGAUUGAAGUCUGCAACUCGACUUCAUGAAGUUGGAAUCGCUAGUAAUCGCGAAUCAGCAUGUCGCGGUGAAUACGUUCUCGGGGUUUGUACACACCGCCCGUCA
rnacentral:rRNA from 1 species